rfam:Myotis brandtii contig256936, whole genome shotgun sequence.
UCUAGCACAAAUUUAUAUAAAAUAUUAUGAUAUCAAUAUGCUCUUCAUUAAUAUUCAGUAUGAAAUGAACACAGAAGAUAAAACAUUUUUCAUGAGAAGGAUGGUAAUAUAAAC